GUCUUGGGGACACCAGGGGGGUCUCAGGACUCACCUGCUCGUGGUGCUGCCCCUCCUGUUCCCACCAGGCCCCAAUAAGACCCCCCAAAUGUCCCCUAACCACCCUUUUUUCUUUAAUUCCCUCUCCCCACAGAUCCCUUUUAACCCCGAAUGCUCCCAAGACCCCUUUUAACUCGCCCAAAUGCACCCAGAGGUUUCUAAAACACCCCAAAUCCCAAUCAAACCCCUGGCAAAGAGGGAUCACCCGGCACCCUGGGACAGGAACACAGUGGGCUGUGCUGGGGCCACUGGGCUGUACUGGGAGGGCACUGAGGGGGCACUGGGCUGUACUGGGAGAGCCCUCAUCCCCAAAGCCCCUCCCCUGGGCAUCCGUGCCACGGUCUGGGAACCACGGCAUCAAGGGGUGCCCUUGAUGAUCUGGGAGGUCUUUUCCAAGCCGGCUGAUUCUGGGAUUCUCUGGGUGCCAUUGCCAGGGCAGCACAUGCUGGAGGCUCUGUCCACAGGGGAUAGAUGUGUCUGUGCACACAGAGAGACAAGGUCAGUCUGCAAAGAUGUGGGCUUAGAAAAGCAGGAGAAGUUGUGGGGUGGUUGUGGAAGGAGAAAGAAGCCCCCAGGCCAGUGCAAGCAGGCCCCCCUGGGCUUGCACAUCAUCUGCCCUCCCUGCAGGUUCCUGUGCUGGAGAGCAGGCCCUGAGGUGGCCCUGAGCAAUGGCCCGGAGGUGAGCCCAGAGCUGGCCCUGAGGUGGCCCUGAGAAGAAGUGGAAGGCAGAGGUGGUGCUGAGGCAGGAGAGCCCUGUGCUGGGGAAGAGGCUGAUCUGGGAGUGCCCAGCAGGGAGAAGGUGCUGUGUCCAUGCCCUGUGUGCCAGGAUUUGUCCUUCCCAAAGCUUGGGCAGAUGGAGGAGAAGGCUGCGAGGAAGAGGAAGAGGCCACGGGCCCCUCAGGCAGGCCCCGAGCUGAGGACGGAGAGCACGGAGGACAAAUCCCCCCGGCAGAGCCUGGUGGGAGAGGCCGUUUUGAAGGGCUCCCCGGCGCAGGAAGGCAGCGGGGAGGAAAAGGCCCGGAGAUGCCCCCGGAGGAGGGGCUGCAAAGCCAGCCCAGGGAGCUCUGAGGAGGAAAGACCCGACCUGUGCUGGGAAGGCGGCCGGAGCUUGAGCCGGAGCUCAGAGCUGGUGGUCCCUGAGCAGCCUCCCAGCAGGGAGAAGCCCUUCAGGUGCUUGGAAUGUGGGAAGAGCUUCAGGGGCAGCUCCCACCUCCUCAGGCACCAGCACAUCCACACUGGGGCACGGCCCUACACGUGCAGGGAA